rnacentral:lncRNA from 1 species
CAACAAGGUCAUUCCCAAGAGCGUAGAGACGUGCUUGUUGAUAAAGAUUCGACAAAGCGGUAACCAGGAGGUUGAGGCUGCUUUGAAAGUUAACCAGAAGGAUAUUCUACAUGUGAAGGGAAGACACCAUAACAGGUCUAUAGAAGGAGAUUUCCGUCAUGACGUGAACUUGGAUUUGAACCAUUCAACUCAGCUGAGGAUCCCUCAGGCACUGGGCCUUCAUGGUGAGAUCUUCUUCAGGCAGCAUCCGGCAGGAGAGUUUGACUGUGGUGUAACCCUGCAAGCUGCUGUCAACCAGAAGGUCACAUCUCAGUUCUUGCUUCAGCUGAAUGGAUCCAAGUCUCACAUUGGGUUUUUCUCCCAACUUAGGCAUCCUGCCAGGGUGACACUUCCUCCAAAUUUCCAGGUCCAGGCUGCCGGUAGGCAUCACAAAGAUCGAAGC